rnacentral:lncRNA from 1 species
CCAAGGUUCAUCCCUGAAACCCAAAAUGGUUAUGGCCUUUACGGCCACGAGUCAGGCUCAGGCUCAAGCCGGCCCAGUUUCACCACCAAAGAAACCUAUGAACCCUAUGUCACCCCUGUUAGAUUCCACCCUGAUGAACCCUAUAACAGCAUCCCCGAAUCCUCCAACAAUAAAGACACUUACUACUACAACAAGAAUGCCUACAAGUCCACUAAGCAGCAAAACUUGGGCGAGGCCAUUUUCACCGAGAAAGGAUGGAGCACCAAGGAAAACCAGAACAACAACUACUACAACGGCAACAUUAAUGGCGAGAAGCAAGGCAUGAGCGAUACUAGGUACUUGGAGAAUGGAAAGUACUACUAUGACGUCAAGAGUGAGAACAGCUAUUAUCCAAACCAGCUCGACAACUCAAGAGGAGUUGCUUCCAGGAACGAGUUCGAUGAGAAUCGUUACAACAACAUGGGAAGGUACCACCAGAACCAAGAGGAGUUCGAGGAAAGCGAGGAAGAGUUCGAAC